rnacentral:lncRNA from 1 species
AUGGAUGUGGCUGCUAUGCACCAGGGCUAUCCAAGCAGCGUCUACUCCUCUCACUACCAGCUCGAGGCACUGAAACAGCAGAAUUCCAAAUUCCAGGAAGAACUCAGUCUCUCGCAGGUGCGAGGCAGCUCAGAAAGCCAGCGCAUCGGAACUCUGUGCAAGGAAAUUGAGGUACUGAAGCUGGCCAGUCUGACAUCUCAGAACCAGCCAGACAUGAAAGACAGGGAAACUCUGUCCAACCAGGAGACAGAUGAGGACAAGGAGCUGGAGACUCUGAGGGAUGAGAUCGCGGUGCUGCGAGGUGAGAAACGCCAUGGCCAAGACGCUGCAGUCUGCCGUGGAGACGCUGGAGAGAGACAAGGCCCAGCUACAGGAAGGUCACCCGCCUGGAGCAGAGGCUAUUGGGACGGCAGGCCUCCGAGGGGGGGACAGUGGAGUGCCUUCCUCAGGUGACACAGCUCUGCGACCCGUUGAGAGGAGAAGGAGUUUGCAGAGGGAAAGAUGAUUGGCCAUUAGUAAAACAAUUUCUCAUCUGCUGUCACUAAUGUAGUAUAUCAUUUGUAUAGAAAGAU